AUGAACGCUAGCGACAGGCUUAACACAUGCAAGUCGAGGGGCAGCAUAAAAGUAGCAAUACUUGGUGGCGACCGGCGCACGGGUGAGUAACGCGUAUGCAACCUACCUAUCAGAGGGGAAUAACCCGGCGAAAGUCGGACUAAUACCGCAUAAAACAGGGGCACCGCAUGGUGAUAUUUGUUAAAGAAAUUCGCUGAUAGAUGGGCAUGCGUUCCAUUAGGUAGUUGGUGAGGUAACGGCUCACCAAGCCGACGAUGGAUAGGGGAACUGAGAGGUUGGUCCCCCACACUGGUACUGAGACACGGACCAGACUCCUACGGGAGGCAGCAGUGAGGAAUAUUGGUCAAUGGGCGGGAGCCUGAACCAGCCAAGUCCGCGUGAAGGAAGAAGGAUCUAUGGUUCGUAAACUUCUUUUGCAGGGGAAUAAAGUGCAGGACGUGUCCUGUUUUGUAUGUACCCUGAGAAUAAGGAUCGGCUAACUCCGUGCCAGCCGCCGC
rnacentral:rRNA from 1 species